rnacentral:rRNA from 1 species
CCAAACCUUACUUCCCCGUGAAUCGGCAGCAGGGCGUCGAGUGCCGAUAUAAUGCGCACUUGAAGCCCCGCCGCCAAACUUAACAUAAAUAAAAAACCUAGGUGCCGAAUUUUAUGACCUGCUGCACGAGAGUGUGGCUGGCUGUAAUUGCCGGUGCCGCCCACUACUAAAUGAAACCAAAACCUGAAUCCAAAGUCAUUGGCAUUCUCUCGGCUUUAGGGUCUGACGGAAGCCUCUGACUGUGUAAUUUAUUACAACUUUCAGCAAUGGAUGUCUUGGAUCCCACAACGAUGAAGAACGCAGCGAAAUGUGAUACGUAAUGCGAAUUGCAGGACCUCGUGAAUCAUCAAAUUUUUGAACGCACAUUGCGCUUUUGGGUAAUGCCCAAGAGCAUGCUCAUCUGAGUGUCCCUAAACCCCACUCAGCCACGGCAUGAUGCGAAAGCAUUAGCUGUGAGCUGGACUCUGACAGUGUUUGGCUUGCCGAACUCUGUUUAAAUUCACCAAUUUGAUGGUGACGUCUUUAGCCGAUGGGCUUCAGGCAGAAGCAAAUGCAACCCUGGAUUUGGUAGAUGCACCUAGUGUAUUUUCUUGUCCGAGUGUAGCUCUUGUGGUAUGUUUGUUGUGUGUUAGUUGAUGCGUCUCCUUCAAAGUGGGUUUGCCGAAACACUAUGGUGUUCGCGACAGACCUGACUUAAGUGUAUUAGCCAUGGAUCUCAGAUUGAGUAAGACUACCC